CGCGUGAGUGAAGAAGGUUUUCGGAUCGUAAAGCUCUGUUGUAAGUCAAGAACGAGUGUGAGAGUGGAAAGUUCACACUGUGACGGUAGCUUACCAGAAAGGGACGGCUAACUACGUGCCAGCAGCCGCGGUAAUACGUAGGUCCCGAGCGUUGUCCGGAUUUAUUGGGCGUAAAGCGAGCGCAGGCGGUUUGAUAAGUCUGAAGUUAAAGGCUGUGGCUCAACCAUAGUUCGCUUUGGAAACCGUCAAACUUGAGUGCAGAAGGGGAGAGUGGAAUUCCAUGUGUAGCGGUGAAAUGCGUAGAUAUAUGGAGGAACACCGGUGGCGAAAGCGGCUCUCUGGUCUGUAACUGACGCUGAGGCUCGAAAGCGUGGGGAGCGAACAGGAUUAGAUACCCUGGUAGUCCACGCCGUAAACGAUGAGUGCUAGGUGUUGGAUCCUUCCGGGAUUCAGUGCCGCAACUAAC
rnacentral:rRNA from 1 species